GAAAAUGGCGGCCGAGAAGAGGGGAGAGAAGCAGCCUGAAAAGUCGCAGCGAGCUGGAGCUACCGGAGGACCUGAGGAAGAAGCAGAAAAACCUGUGAAAGCUAAAACUGUUUCUUCCAGUAAUGGAGGGGAAAGUUCCAGUCGCAGCUCUGAGAAGCGAUCAGUGAAGAAGCUGCAGACCUCCCAACAAAGCCUACAAAGAUCUCCAACUUUGGAUUUGCGUUAGGUAGACGACAAAGAAAGCGUCAGCCAUAUCCAUCAAACUUGGAUCAAGUAAGCCUAAAGAAACUGUUCCAACUCUUGGCUCCAAAAAUUUUCAGUAGCAGCAGCUCUUAAUGAAGAUGAAGAUGGAUACACCAACAUCAGCUGGACCGAACUCCUUCAAUAAAGGAAAGCAUGGGUUUUCUGAUAACCAGAAACUAUGGGGGCAAAAUAUAAAAUCUCAUCUUGGAAAUGUCCAUGACCAAGACA
rnacentral:lncRNA from 1 species